rnacentral:sRNA from 1 species
GUUUCUUCAUCAUCACCAUCACCACCACUC